AUUACAUGGUGAGGACAUUUCUGCAGAAGGUCUUUGAAUCUCUCCAAUGCAUCUGAUACCAAUUUCAUCGUCUUCUUGACAAAACGUCAUAAUUUCAUUUCCAAUUUU